CCUGUUGGAACGCAUGGUUUAAACUGUAGUGAACAAUGUAUAAAGGGUUACUAUGGAAGGCUUUGUCUAGAACCAUGUGACUGUCCCGCUAAUCUGUGUGAUGUAAUAUAUGGUUGCUAUGGCAACAGUUCUCAUCCCUUUACCGCUGAAGUUCGGUCUUUAAGUGGAAUAAAUAUAGGUAUGACGUCAUCAUCUUGGAGAAACUCAAUAUUCAUCGGAAUUGUGUUGAUGGGAACUUUCUUAAUUAUAGGAGUGAUGUUCUUCAUUAAGUCUUGGUUCAUUAAAAUGAAAACUCGUGCAGCAAGUAACCAAAGGGGGGCAUCAG